GACGAACGCUGGCGGCGUGCUUAACACAUGCAAGUCGAACGGAAAGGCCCUGCUUUUGUGGGGUGCUCGAGUGGCGAACGGGUGAGUAACACGUGAGUAACCUGCCCUUGACUUUGGGAUAACUUCAGGAAACUGGGGCUAAUACCGGAUAGGAGCUCCUGCUGCAUGGUGGGGGUUGGAAAGUUUCGGCGGUUGGGGAUGGACUCGCGGCUUAUCAGCUUGUUGGUGGGGUAGUGGCUUACCAAGGCUUUGACGGGUAGCCGGCCUGAGAGGGUGACCGGAGACAGUGGGACGGAGAUACGGCGCAGAAGCCUACGGGAGGCAGCAGUGGGGAAGAUUGCACAAUGGGCGGAAGCAUGAUGCAGCAACGCCGCGUGCGGGAGGACGGCCUUCGGGGUGUAAACAGCUUUCGCCGGUGACGAAGCGUGAGUGAGGGUAAUGGGUAAAGAAGCAACGGCUAACUACGUG
rnacentral:rRNA from 1 species